UACGAAGGGGGCUAGCGUUGUUCGGAAUUACUGGGCGUAAAGGGCGCGUAGGCGGUGUGUCAAGUCAGGCGUGAAAGCCCCGGGCUCAACCUGGGAACAGCGCUUGAGACUGGCACGCUCGAGUUCGGGAGAGGAUGGUGGAAUUCCUGGUGUAGCGGUGAAAUGCGCAGAUAUCAGGAGGAACACCAAUUGCGAAGGCAGCUCGCUGGGAUGUUACUGACGCU
rnacentral:rRNA from 1 species